rnacentral:ncRNA from 1 species
UUUGGUAGAGGUCGCAUUUGGCAAUGAGUAACAUACGGAUAAUAAGCUCUGACAAAGUGAUGCUGUAUGUGAAAGGUGUCGGUGCCGAGGACAGUUAUGUCAAAGACUGCAUCCGGCACGGUGAAAUAAGAUUUACCGUGUUGUCGUACCUUUCGGUACGGAGAGCUAUCGGUU